UAGGGUUAUAUUUUGGACUUUCAAUAUAACACCCUAAUGGUCAUAAUAAUCGUUUGUGUGUUUUUUUCUCAUGGUCAAUAUAUGAUAAUAAAUUUUCUUCGUGGUCUUAUAGUGCCUCUUGAUCUCAAAGAAAGAAGUAUUAAGUAAUGAAGUAAGAAACAAAUUUUCAUGUACUAUUUUAAUUGUUUUUAUAUGUCAAUUGUUGUGAUUUUUUUUUUUCAUGUUCUGAUUUAAUUUGUUUCUAUUUUGUGAUUAUUUGAUUGAAAUUAUUGUAAUGUUGUCCAACAAAUUUUUGGCUAAGUUCAUGGCACAUCUUCAAUAGAAUUUUUUUUAAAAUAUUCUAUGUGUAUUUAUUGAUUUUGAACCUUUAGAACGUAAGAUUAGAGGUUAGGUCAGUAGUUGAGGAGAUUCAAUAGUUACCUUUAGGUUCAAGUUCAUAUCUCAAUCACUAUAUUUUUAGUUUUCAAACCUCCUUAGUGAAAAUUCUAAAUUUGCCAUUGAAUAUUAUUUGAAUUCAUCAAUACAGGUUUAAGCACUUCAGAUACAAUAAUUAAGCGAAUUGGCAGCCAAGUUGUCUAUAAACUUCCUCAUUGUUUGAAAAACAUUAGCAAAAUCAGAUGAUUUUGGGAAAGCACCAAUCGAACAGUUGACAGAAAUAACAUGAAGUUUGAGACAUUUUGAGGGGAAUUUGUUUGGGUGAUAGUAAUGCUUGUAGGAGUAUUGAGGAGGCAAUGGACUAUGAGAUUAAUGAUACCUCAUGAGGUUAUAUGCCAUAGCGCGAGGGGUGAAGCUGAAAGAAUUCGAAAGUAGAUGAAGAUUAAGAAAUUAUAAAGCAUGCACUCGAAUUGUU